AAACAAUCUGCAUCUCUCCGCAGGCACAACCAGUAGAUCUACUUCUGUUGGCUUCUUGACAUGCACGUUAAAAACUGUUACAGUAUUACACUGUCUGCUGGUACAUGGUAGGUCCUUUUGAACGGUUUCCGCAAACUGCCGAAGAAGUUGGCUCUAACGCUAGCACCUAGUCCUAGAUCUGAGCCCAGUGCCGAGUGGGAACUACUAGUCUAGUAGUAGUAGAUCUAGGAAGAGUAAAAAUAUAAGCUCAUAAUUAUAAUACUCUUGCUAUAGAGUACGAAGUCUUUCAAGCUUGAGACGAGCGUGUGGUGUAGAUGAUUCGUGACAUCCUAGGCUAGCGUUUCGGAUCAGACCGAAUGUUACAAUAAAGAACUGAGGGGUUGCCGAGUAAUUUGUUGUUCGACAAUGGUGGCUUGGACUGAGUGAAGGAGUGCACCUAACUCAGUAACUGUUGCUUUCACUGACCAGGCGGAUACUACUACUAUAAUACAGUAAUAAUAAUUAUAAUUAUUACUAUGUUCCUUGCUUGACGGGAGAAAAUGGCGGCAAGGGAACUGGUUGAAUUUCGUGGAUUGUUACCAGGUCCAGCAUGCGGAGAGAUCGCAGUUGCAUUCAUCAUGGCAUUGGUGUCGUUCAGGUUGUCAGUUCUCGCAGCGCGUAUUGAAGCAUUGUGGCCAGUGAACUUUGCGGCAUGCCGUAUCUAAAAUGUGGAGUUUGGAGUCGUAGCUACCCAACCCGAGACACCUGAGGCAAUAUGGAAGCACAAGGCCACACUUGGUAUUCCCAUUCGGGCUCAGUGAGUGUGCCGUCGAUCCUCGAAGCUACAUGACUCGGCAUGUUCAGGAUCAGACACCAGCAUGGCCACGCAGCUGAACCCCCGUCAGACAAGUGACCAGCCUGACUGGCAUAGUACAUGGUCAAAGCUCAUAAGUUGUUCAGGUAUGCUCGUAAUGCAGCUGGACUGUUGGCUGCUUGGAGUUAUUGGAUUAUCAACUAGAAGAACUCCACCGGCCUACAAUGUGUACAUGUACAGUAAUAAGAUGAUGGCCACGUUCAAAAGGAACAAUAAUACUAGCGCCGGACGCACGUCAAUGCCAUGCCUGCCUUCGGUGGUUCCGAAGUGCCGGUGGACUUGCUGUGCACAAGUGCACAACACCCGCCCCGGCAUCACCGCCCACACCCCAGCGCAUACCAAUCACCAGCCAUCCGUGUUGCAACCAGCACUGCGCUACCUGUGAUCGCUGUUUUAAAUCUGCUCCUGGCUUUCGGCGACACAAUUGCCAUCGUGGACGGCGUCGUGGCGGAGCGGCUCCCUAGUGGCAGUGCUGACUUCUCUCGAACUCUCUCUUCUACUCUCCCCUGUCUCGGGGGCGGCGUGGCCAAGCAUUUGGCAGCUGUACACCAGGCCAGGCUCGCAACACCCAUGGCGGAGAUUUGGACCUAUCUGUGCAGAUUCUCACUAGCUAAGCGCUGAAACCAGCCAGCAGGACUGCUAGUCUGCGCCAAAGAUAGACAUAUGACUCUGGAUUUGCUCAAGGGCUUGCUCCAACCCGUUCAAACCUGCUCCAACCUGUUCUUCCCUGCUGGCUGGUGUAGAGAAGAGCCGAGAAUGAAGACGAUCUUCCUUGAAUGCACAG